ACCGUUAUAACCGGCGAUACCCGAAUGGGGAAACCCAGUGUGAUUCGUCACACUAUCAUUAACUGAAUCCAUAGGUUAAUGAGGCGAACCGGGGGAACUGAAACAUCUAAGUACCCCGAGGAAAAGAAAUCAACCGAGAUUCCCCCAGUAGCGGCGAGCGAACGGGGAGGAGCCCAGAGCCUGAAUCAGCAUGUGUGUUAGUGGAAGCGUCUGGAAAGGCGCGCGAUACAGGGUGACAGCCCCGUACACAAAAGCGCAUGUGCUGUGAGCUCGAUGAGUAGGGCGGGACACGUGGUAUCCUGUCUGAAUAUGGGGGGACCAUCCUCCAAGGCUAAAUACUCCUGACUGACCGAUAGUGAACCAGUACCGUGAGGGAAAGGCGAAAAGAACCCCGGCGAGGGGAGUGAAAAAGAACCUGAAACCGUGUACGUACAAGCAGUGGGAGCCCCACCACCAAAGCAUUCUCUGGUGUUGAAGGCCCUGCAAAGCAGCAUCGCGGUGGCGGAGCGUCGUUUGCGAC
rnacentral:rRNA from 1 species